AUGCAUAUGAUGGUUGUACUCUACGCAUAACAUAUGUUUUGUGCAAUUGCAUAUUGUAUCUUGUGUAGUGUUGUUUGUACAUUACUAUUUUAAAGCCACAUGUCUCCUUUAUAUCCACAUUGUUCUCAACUUUACCUUUUACUUUCUCUCUCUCUCACAAUAUACCACGCCUGAUCCUCAAAGAUUCAUUCAAAAUCACACUUCUGAAUCACCUAUUCAACGACCGAAUUUCUUUGUGUUCGAAGUGAUCAGCACACGGCGACAUCGAUAGUUACAGUAAGAUUUUAAUUGGGUGUUUAGGACUACGAUUCAGAGCAACAUGUAGCAUCACCAUAGAUCGAGAUGGUAAGUAUUAUCUGCCAUUGGACUCAUUGUUACGUGCUUCGUUUUAUUGUCUGAUGCUUAGCAAUGAAGAGAUGUUAAGAGGAGAGGAAUAAUGGGUCGGAUUUUACCCGGAACUGGUGGCAUGGUGGGCUUGGGCCUCCGUACGUGCAGGUUGGGCUGCCGCGGUCUACCUUUCGGCCAAUGGGUGCCGUGUACGAAGUACCCGGCGAUUCUUAUGUUGGACGUUCAAAAAAAAAGAAUUUAUCAUUGAAUAUCCCAUCGAUUUGAUGAUUGCAUUCCACAAGUUCAUGGUGGUGAAGUUUUAGUUUUGGUUACUAAGGCGAACUUUUGGAUAACGGAUCAAGUCAAAACAGUUCUGGCGUUGGUAAGGCUGCCAUAUGUCGUCACCAAUGUUUCGGAUCCUCCUAUUGUGCAUACAGCCACUGACAACAUUCAGCAGCAACACAUGGGCGCUCCUCCACCAAAAACACCCAACCCCAAGGUUAACCAACAAAAACGCCAUCUAGAUGAAUCGCCAGAUAACAGCAACACUUCAAAGAAGGGACGCAUCGGGCGCGGGGAAUGAUAUGGACGUCGAACACCUUUUUGUACAGUUGCCAAGUAGAAAAAACGCAGCUGUAGGUAGUAGUUAAGCAAGCCAUGUCCUCUAGGAAUAUGUCUUUUGUGCAACUUAUGUAACUAACAUAGCUUAGUGUUAGUAACCUAAGUUGCAACUAUAACAUAUGUACGAACCUGGACACAAGCUCUUGGUUGUACCUAAUCUAUCUAACCUAACGGAUGUAAAUCACAACUUGCUUAAUGUAAAUAUAAGUCUAGCCCCCCGCUGCAUCGCGACGGGUUACUCUUCUAGUUA